UGGGGAAUAUUGCACAAUGGGCGCAAGCCUGAUGCAGCAACGCCGCGUGAACGAUGAAGGUCUUCGGAUCGUAAAGUUUGGUUGCAGGGGAAGAUAAUGAUGGUACCCUGUGAGGAAGCGCCGGCUAACUACGUGCCAGCAGCCGCGGUAAUACGUAGGGGGCUAGCGUUAUCCGGAUUUACUGGGAGUAAAGGGUGCGUAGGUGGUCUUUCAAGUCGGUGGUUAAAGGCUACGGCUCAACCGUAGUUAGCCUCCGAAACUGGAAGACAUGAUUGCAGGAGAGGAAAGUGGAGUUCCCAGUGUAGCUGUGAAAAGCGUAGAUAUUAGGAGGAACACCAGUAGCGAAGGCGGCUUGCUAGACUGCAACUAACACUGAGGCACGAAAGCGUGGGUAGCAAACAGG
rnacentral:rRNA from 1 species